UACGUAGGUGGCAAGCGUUGUCCGGAAUUAUUGGGCGUAAAGCGCGCGCAGGCGGUCGUUCAAGUCGCGUGUGAAAGCCCCCGGCUCAACUGGGGAGGGUCACGCGAUACUGAUCGACUCGAAGGCAGGAGAGGGAAGUGGAAUUCCCGGUGUAGUGGUGAAAUGCGUAGAUAUCGGGAGGAACACCAGUGGCGAAGGCGACUUCCUGGCCUGUUCUUGACGCUGAGGCGCGAAAGCUAGGGGAGCAAACGGG
rnacentral:rRNA from 1 species